AAAUUAAAAAAAAGACAGGGGACGCUUGUUCGAAAACAUUAAAUAAAGAAAAUAUCCCCAGUACUCUUCUCUCUGCCGGGAGAAAAAGCAAAAAUAAAGGUGGAGGGAAAGGAAAGAGAUGGAUGGCGGCCAUUCCCAUUCGAGUUCCAGGAAUUCAGAUUCUCUUGUCGUUAAAGUGGCAGAGGAGAAGCAGAAAUGGCCAGUCUCGUCUUCCCAAAUGGUAUCUCACUUCGCUACUAGUGGACUCUCCGUUGCUGUUGCCACCGCCAUCACGCACCCCUUAGAUGUGCUCAAGGUUCGACUACAAAUGCAACUUGUUGGCCAGAGAGGCCCCUUGACUGGAAUGGGACAAGUGGCUGUUCAAGUAUUGAAAAAGGAAGGGCCAAAGGCUUUGUAUCUGGGGUUGAUGCCUGCAUUGAUUAGGUCAGUUCUUUAUGGAGGCCUACGUUUAGGCCUGUAUGAACCCUCGAAGUAUGCCUGUAAUUUGGCUUUUGGGUCCACCAAUAUCUUACUUAAGAUUGCAUCAGGAGCAUUUGCUGGUGCAGUUGCAACUGCACUUACUAAUCCAGUCGAAGUUCUGAAGGUCCGUUUGCAGAUGAAUGCAAAUCAGAGACAAGGAGGACCAAUGGCGGAAAUGCGUACAAUUGUUUCUGAAGAGGGAAUGCGAGCUCUUUGGAAGGGGGUUGGCCCUGCUAUGGCGAGAGCUGCUGCUUUGACUGCAUCACAACUGGCAACAUAUGAUGAAACCAAGCAGGUUCUGAUUAGGUGGACACCUCUGGAUGAAGGAUUUCAUCUACAUCUACUCUCGAGUACAGUUGCUGGAACAGUGAGUACCCUUGUAACUGCACCUAUGGACAUGAUUAAAACCCGCCUCAUGCUGCAACGAGAAUCUAAAACAGUUGGAAACUAUAAAAAUGGAUUUCAUUGUGCAUAUCAGUGUCCUCUUUUCCUUCCUGCUGGUGCUGUGGGCUUAUGGGUGUGAAUCCUCCAUCACUGCUGAGCAUACAACCAUGUGCAUUCCAGAGAUUGUGGCUUCCUUACACACAGGAUGCUGAUCUUGCUUGAUUACUUGUAUAGUUGUCAGUUGACUAUUUAUUGCUGUCCAAAUUGAUGAUCCAUGACACAAUAGUUUCAUGAGUUUCUACCGGGGAAAGAGAGAAGAUUGGUGAAAAACUGCUGUUAAUUUUUCUUUUGUUUCUCCCCUCUUUAAGGAGUUUGUCUAAUGUUUCUGUGAUGUGUGGAGUAAGCUCGGGGAUUGUUAAUGAGUGUUUACAAGGGAAAAUUGGCUUUCAUGUCUGACACCUUUGUGUUUUGAGUUUUCAGGUUAUGCUUAAAGAAGGCCCUAGGGCACUUUACAAGGGGGGCUUUGCAAUAUUUGCAAGAUUGGGUCCGCAAACUACAAUUACAUUUAUACUAUGUGAGAAGCUGCGCAAGCUUGCCGGAUUGGAUGCCAUCUAGGGGAGGGAAUGUCCAUUUACAGUCAUUCCCCAAUACCUGACUUCCGUGGUUUUAUUCAAGUGAAGAAAAGCAGCCCUCUCAGCAAGUUCAGAAGGAGGGUUUGCACGAGAUGAUUCUGAUAGCAGAUUAUUUUUUUGGCCAUUUGAGUUGGGGACCAAUAUUUAUUUGGUUUCUGGUGAGACUUGCAUUUAUUUGAUUGAGUUGUAUGAUUAUUUUGGUCAAUGCACAUGUUUUUCCCUGGGGUCGGACUGUAUCAUCAGGCAUAUGAAUUCACGCCUUCCUGAAUUGCUGUAAUCAGAGUAGGAAAUUAGAGGAUAACCAUUGUAUCUGGUUUUUCUACAGAAAUAAUCGUACCAUCGCUCUCUUCUCCCUUGGCUGUUUCCUGAACAUCAAUUUAUGGUUGAGAAAUAAAUGGGAAGAUUUAUGA